CCUACGGGUGGCUGCAGUGGGGAAUAUUGGACAAUGGGCGAAAGCCUGAUCCAGCCAUGCCGCGUGUGUGAAGAAGGCCUUCGGGUUGUAAAGCACUUUCAGUGGGGAAGAAAGCCUUGGGGCUAAUACCCUCGAGGAAGGACAUCACCCACAGAAGAAGCACCGGCUAACUCCGUGCCAGCAGCCGCGGUAAUACGGAGGGUGCGAGCGUUAAUCGGAAUUACUGUGCGUAAAGCGCGCGUAGGCGGUCUGAUAAGCCGGUUGUGAAAGCCCCGGGCUCAACCUGGGAACGGCAUCCGGAACUGUCAGGCUAGAGUGCAGGAGAGGAAGGUAGAAUUCCCGGUGUAGCGGUGAAAUGCGUAGAGAUCGGGAGGAAUACCAGUGGCGAAGGCGGCCUUCUGGACUGACACUGACGCUGAGGUGCGAAAGCGUGGGUAGCAAACAGGAUUAGAUACCCCAGUAGUC
rnacentral:rRNA from 1 species